rnacentral:rRNA from 1 species
UACGUAGGCAGCAAACGUUGUUCGGAAUUACUGGGCGUAAAGAGUGUGUAGGCGGUUCUGUAAGUUUGGUGUGAAAUCUCCCGGCUUAACUGGGAGGGUGCGCCGAAAACUGCAAGGCUUGAGUGCUGGAGAGGAUAGCGGAAUUCCUGGUGUAGCGGUGAAAUGCGCAGAUAUCAGGAGGAACACCGAUGGCGAAGGCAGCUCGCUGGGACGGUACUGACGCUGAGGCGCGAAAGCGUGGGGAGCAAACAGG